rnacentral:lncRNA from 1 species
AUGUGUUCCAGUUGGUAUUACGUUUCUGUAAGAAGACCAGAUGAGAUUGAACCCACUGGGUGGAGAAGGUUAUGGAGCCUGCACCUGCAGCAGGUGAGGGGCUCCAAGGGGGAGCAGCCAGCUUGGCCUUGGAGCGUUGGGAGGAACUCCUUAAGGACCAGAGGGGACUGGGUUGAUUUUGCUGCAACUCAGAAAAUCACUGAACUGGGUAAAAUCAAGUCUAAAAGCAAAGAUGUGCCUACAAGGACUGUAUGUAGGGAAGAAUUGUGUAUAUAUUAUUUUUAUUGUGUCCUGCCUUCCCUCUCCUGUUUUGUCUUCUCUGUUUAAAAGACAACUCAUUUAGUUUCAUGCCAAUGAAACUUGUAUCUUUGGAGUUUAAAAGCCUUUCAGUAUUCUUUGGGGAGCUUGCUACAGGAGAAGAUCUCAGCAGAUGCAUUGCAAAGAUCUGGCCACCUCAGGCUCACUGUUUCUGUUAACUUCUGAAUAAUUAUGCUUGACCUUGAACCCUGCAUAUUCUUUUCUUCAGUAUGACAUUUCCAGACUGAGUAAAUGGCAAUGGCAAUGUAGCUGACUCUACAGUGUUUUUAUGGCUCAUCUAGGGAAGCUUUAAACUCUAGUUCUUUUCCAAACAACUUUUGGUAUAUAUAUAUAUUUUAUUAUGUUGUAAAAUACCAGCUUAAUAAUCAGCAGUUGUCGACUGUUACUUUGAUGUAGUCCUAUGAAACUUCAAGAAGGAUUAUAUGGUUGUAGAUCACARCAAUAUUUGAAUGUAAUUGUUUUGCUUACAGUUAAUGUUGUGAACAUUAAACGGUGCUAGAUUUUCCUGUGUCUCUGACAGUUUACUCCCAAAUAUAUAGGCCCAUGCUCAUUCUUUCUGUAGGGUGUUAAACAAAGCCAAAAGUUUUCUAAGAACUAAAUUCUUUGUAAAAGCACUGGCCUACUCAUUGUAAACAGGAUGGGCUAUGCAGAUGUUUAGUCAUGAGCACACUCUGGAAAACAUAGUCACUUUUGCUCUGAGGGCAUGAUUUCACUGCAGUGUGGUGAAACAUCCCAGGCUUAGUUCAGCCAAAGCUAUUUUGAAACUGCAGCUCUGCUAAGGGAGUUAAUUCAAGUAGCCAAGUUAGCCCGGCUGUACUGCUUCUUGAACUUGCAUUUGUGCCUGUGUGUUUUCCAAAGCAGUCUUCUCCGUGGGUGCCUCCGAGUGUCCUUCAUCUCUGCUAGAACUAAUGAUACCUGGAGAGAAGAGGAGUUAAUUCCUUUCAGUGAAAGAGCCUUUCUGCAAGCUAUGUCUAUAUCUUGGUUUUAGUAUUUACCACGCAUUACUGACUGAGAAUGGUUGUCAGGGUAUCGUACAGAAAAUGAGACCAGAGAUGGCAAAAACAAUAGCCAUGAACAAUGUGUGUGGCCUGCAUGUCUGCUAAAUGCUAUGGAAGGCCUGGGGCAAUAUUGCUAGAGCUGUUAAGGCUGGUCAGGGCUGUCCUACACAGACUUGUGUUUUUCUACAGCAUCCCACUCGUGCUACCUGUGUGUUAGCCAUAGCAUAUCCUGCCUUCUGUUUGGAUAAAGGCCUUGAUGAUCAUGUUCAACCAUCAGGUUGGUUUCUUUCUAUUUGACCCCGGAGUUUGUUUUUGUUCCUCCGGGAGGAGGAAGUUUCAUGGUGCUUCCAAAUGUACAAGCGAAAUACGUGGCCAUAAUGAUACUCACCAAAGCAUGAAGGGUUUUGUUUUCCCCAAUGAUAACGUCAUUGUUGUUGAUUCCUUUGUUGUUUAACUGACUUAUUUCACUGAGUUUUGUAUGUUCCUGUAAGAAGGUCCAUGGCAUGUUAUCACAGGUGCUAAUAAUUCCCACAGAAAAAGCUUUACAGCUCUCCUGAGCGACUUGCAGGGUAAAGGUUUGAAUCUGAAUGAAGCCGUGUUGUUUGGAAGUUCAGAAGAGGAAUGUCCAGAGGACUCUGCUCAGCGUGUGGCACGCAGCUUCUACUGUGUCAGCAUCCACUUUCCUCAUUGACAGCAGAGACAAGUUUUCCAUGUUCAGUAAGAAAGACAUAGCAAAUUUAACAUCUGAAAAGUCCACCUACUUGAAAACUUUCAAGGAAAACCUGAAAAAGGUUAGAGUUUUAUAGUGCUGAUAGCACACUCUUCUGCAUUGAUGAAAAAACUCUUUGCUUCAACAUAGUACUGUAUGUGUGUUUAUCUGAUCUAUUUUGCUGUAUGCUUGCACUGUAAUUUUUGAUAGAAGGAAUGUCUUUUUAUUAGUAUUAUAAAUACUAGCAUUUAUUUCUUAGAUCCACAUACACAGUUAGGUAUAUGAGGAGAGAGAAAAUAAUUUUGAAAUAUUCCCAAGGCAACUCCUACAAAUUUUAGUUAUAAGGAAUUCUUUUCUUGACUUUAAGUUGACAUUACCCAGUUGGAGAAUAAAAAUCGUCAUUUAUAUGACUGUGAGUAGCA